UUUGUGAUUUGUCUUUUGGUGGUUUGGUGUGUGAGUGAGGUAAGUAGGAGAGUCGGCCGAAGGCCUGUACAGGUCCGGUAACGGUCUCCUGCAGACUUCUUCUCAUAGACCAGGGUUGGCGCCCGAUGGAGAGCGGGAGGAGUGAGUGGAAUAGUAUGGAUGGUAGUGAAGAGGAAGAGAUUGGCGGUCAGGGUGACGAGAAUGAGUGGGAAAGGGAGGGAAGAGGUGCAGAGCUAGUGAAAGGAAGAGGAAAAAGAGAAGUGAGGGUAGUACGGAAGGGACUGACAGUGAAGGUAAUGAAGAAGGAACGAAUCCGAGUAUGAAUGUCAUUGUCAGGUUUGAGGAAGAGGGUGUGAAGAAAAUAGAUCCACUUAAGCUGACAAGAGCACUUAAGGCACAAGUUGGGGAAAUCAAGUAUGCUAAGAUCCUCAGAGAUGGAAAUUUACUGGUGGGUUGUAACACAGAAGUGCAGGUGGAAAGAGCAAGGAAACUUGUGGGGGUGUGCAAAGUCAAAGUGAAGACUACUGCAAGAGUAGGGGAAAGGAGCACUAGUGGAAAUAAAGGAGUUAUUGUGGGUGUGCUGUUGAAUGUAAAUAUGAAAGACCUGAUGGAGAAUUUGAAACUGAGAAAUGGGGAAGUUAAAGGAGCAAGGAGAAUGACGAGAGGUCCAGAGAAAGUAGAAACAGAAACUGUGGUGGUGGAAUUUGACACGAAAGAGGUACCAAAAGAGGUCUUCUUUGGAUUAAUAAGAUUCAGUGUGAGGGAGUUUGUGCCUAAACCAAUGAGGUGUUUCAAUUGCCAAGAAUUUGGACAUAUUGCCAAAGUGUGUAAAGGGAAGAGGAGAUGUGCUCGAUGUUCUGGUGAUCAUGAAUAUGGGAAGUGUGGUGUGGGAGUAAAACCUAAAUGCUGUAAUUGUGGAGGGGAGCACAGUGUUGCUUUUUGGGGAUGUGAAGUGUUGAGGCAGCAGACAGUCGUUCAAAAAACCAGGGUACUGCAGAGAGUGACAUAUGCAGAGGCAUGUAAAAUGGUGGAGCAAGAGAGACAGAUUGGGAAACACAGGGUAGAGGAGAAACAAGUAAUGGAGAAGGUUAUGGCAAUGGUUGAAAGGAAAAUAGAAGAAGAGAAGAAGAAGAUGGUGACAUUGGUUGCGGGGGUAAUAAAUGCAACUUCAGAUGUGAAGUCCAAGACAGAGAGGAUCCAGAUUAUUGUGAAGGCGGCAUGUCAUAGUUUAGACAUGAAGAAUAUCAGGUGGGAGGAUAUAAGAGGUGAACUAAUUAGUCAGGCAAGUCAAGAGGGAUAAUGUGGUGGUUAGUUCUUAUAACCAUAUUACUCUUACAGUGGAAUGCCAGGAGUCUCUUGUCAAAUGGUCAAGAUUUUAAGCAGUUUAUAUAUGAACAGACAGAAAAACCUGACCUAAUUUGUAUUCAGGAAACAUGGUUGAAGCCUUUUUUGGAUUUUAGAGUGUAUGGGUAUAUUGCUGUUAGAUAUGAUAGGG
ensembl:lncRNA